rnacentral:rRNA from 1 species
UGGGGAAUAUUGGACAAUGGGCGGAAGCCUGAUCCAGCCAUGCCGCGUGUGUGAAGAAGGCCUUUUGGUUGUAAAGCACUUUAAGCGAGGAGGAGGCUACUUGGAUUAAUACUCUAGGAUAGUGGACGUUACUCGCAGAAUAAGCACCGGCUAACUCUGUGCCAGCAGCCGCGGUAAUACAGAGGGCGCGAGCGUUAAUCGGAUUUACUGGGCGUAAAGCGUGCGUAGGCGGCUUCUUAAGUCGGAUGUGAAAUCCCUGAGCUUAACUUAGGAAUUGCAUUCGAUACUGGGAAGCUAGAGUAUGGGAGAGGAUGGUAGAAUUCCAAGUGUAGCGGUGAAAUGCGUAGAGAUCUGGGGGAAUACCGAUGGCGAAGGCAGCCAUCUGGCCUAAUACUGACGCUGAGGUACGAAAGCAUGGGGAGCAAACAGG